GGGCUGCUGGCGCAAUGGCAACGCGUUUGACUUCGACUUCUGUUAGAAAUAACAGUUCUCUCCAUCAAAAGAUUACAGGUUCGAUCCCUGUGUAGCUCA
rfam:Botryotinia fuckeliana BcDW1 unplaced genomic scaffold Scaffold_389, whole genome shotgun sequence.